rnacentral:rRNA from 1 species
GUCGGAAUCGCUAGUAAUCGCGGAUCAGCACGCCGCGGUGAAUACGUUCCCGGGCCUUGUACACACCGCCCGUCACACCAUGAGAGUUUGUAACACCCGAAGCCGGUGGCGUAACCCUUUUAGGGAGCGAGCCGUCUAAGGUGGGACAAAUGAUUAGGGUGAGGUCGUAACAAGGUAGCCGUAGGAGAACCUGCGGCUGGAUCACCUCCUUUCUAAGG